GAAACUUAAAGGAAUUGGCGGGGGAGCACAGCAACGGGGUGGAGCGUGCGGUUUAAUUGGAUUCAACGCCGGAAAGCUCACCGGAGGCGACGGUUACAUGAGGGCCAGGCUGAUGACCUUGCCUAAUUUUCCGAGAAGUGGUGCAUGGCCGCCGUCAGUUCGUACCGUAAGGCGUUCUGUUAAGUCAGACAACGAACGAGACCCUCACCAUUAGUUGCAAUUUAUUCCUCAGGGAAUGGAGCACUCUAAUGGGACCGCUGGCGCUAAGUCAGAGGAAGGCGAGGGCAACGGUAGGUCAGUAUGCCCCGAAUCCUUCGGGCUACACGCGCGCUACAAAGGCUAGGACAAUGGGCUUCGACACCGAAAGGUGAAGGCAAUCCUGAAACCUAGUCGUAGUUCGGAUUGAGGAUUGAAACUCCUUCUCCUGAAAGCUGGAAUCCGUAGUAAUCGCGGGUCAACAUCCCGCGGUGAAUAUGCCCCUGCUCCUUGCACACACCGCCCGUCAAACCAUGCGAGUUGGGUUUAAGUGAGGAUGUAGUAUUUUGCUGCGUUCAAACUUAGGCUUAGCAAGCGGGGUUAAGUCGUAACAA
rnacentral:rRNA from 1 species